UCUCCACUACAAUUUCUGUCUGCUCCACUCACUCUCCAUUACCUCUCCUCUCUCUCUACUGUACGAAAGAAAAGAAAAAAAGAAAAAAAAGAAAAAGGAGAAUCCCUAUUUGAAUCACCCAGCUCCCUCACUCUCGCAGACACCAUUCACUACUCACAUCUCUCUCUGAAAAAAAUCCCUCAUCUUUCACUCUCUAAAAAACAGAGGAAAAAAUAAAAAAAUAGAACUUUCCCUCUUCUUCAUCGUAACUCACCUUCAACCUUAAACCCUCUGUCUCUCUCAGUCGCACACACCACAAAACCUUCCGCACGAUCUCCACCGCCACGAGCUCAAGCUCGCACAACCAAAAACCACCAAACCCUUUCCGCCGUCGAAACCGAAACCACACCCCACCGCUUCGUUAUCCGCCGAUGACCCUGUGUCACAAACCAACGCGUGCUAUCCGCCUUCAUCCCUCACUCUUCUGCGUUUCAUCCAACAACAACAACAUCGAAGAAUGGCUGAGCUUCGGUUCUCCAACUCUGCUCGAAGUUAAAGGUUUUGGCUUCAGAUCACUUCAAUAAGUCGAUUGCCGUUCGAACUUAUUUUGAUGAUGUACCGUGGAUAAGUGGAUUUGAAGAACCCCAUGAUGAUAAUCUUCUGAAAUAAACUCUUGGCAACUAUUCAUCUUUGCUUCUUGAAGUUUUAGCAUUCGUUCUGCUAUUUGUUGCUUGGAAUUGGUAUUGUGAAGUUGAAAAGUUGAAAGUUUUUAUGGUGACUGUUUAGUUUCCAUUCUGUAAUACAAUGUGUGAAAUUUGUUUCGCAGUACUGUAAUAUGCAUAAACUGUAUCUUGUAGCUUCCAAGCAUUUUCUUUUUUUUUUCUCUCUUCUUGUAUUAUAAAGCCGUACCCAUGUUACCGAGUACCUAUUCUUUCCGUUUUUUUUACCAUGAUGACAUUGUUUUGCUAUUGAAAAACUUCUCACCACUUGCUGAUUGUCCUGAACCUUAAUUGUGUUGGUACCUUAAAAUCAAAGAUUGUGUUUAUCA